CUCAAUCUUCUAUCUUUUUUCCCUUUGUUCUUGCAAAAAAAACUUUCUCUCCCUUCCGCCACCAUGAUGCCAACUCCGAAAGCCAUCAAAGACAAGAUGAAGGAGAGGAGAGCUACCGAAAAGGGGGCUCAGAAGAGGGCCAGGCAUGUUGGUCCGUCCUCUUCCCACAGGGCACCAUCCGCCUCAUGGUCUUCAUCAUCUUCUGGGGAUGAGGGUGCCCCCUAGUUCGAGAUGAUCCCCCCUUGGUCCGGGAGCAUUGUAUCUGGGAGUUCCAGGCCUCCACAGUGUUCAAAAGAAAGGCCACCGACAUCACCGCUGCCACUUAUCCUCAGAUUUGAGGAUUGUAAGGCCCUCCUGUGGUGAAUGAUGCCAUAGCUGGACCUCCACCAUCUUCAGUCGGGAAACAGUGAUAGGUAGGGGCCUUCUCCUCAAAUGAGGAUUGAGCCCCCUCAUCA
rnacentral:lncRNA from 1 species